rnacentral:tRNA from 2 species
UCCCCGAUAGCUCAGCGGUAGAGCAAGUGACUGUUAAUCACUGGGUCGGCGGUUCGAUCCCGUCUCGGGGAGCCA